AUGUAUUCCUAUGUAUUCCUCGCCCUUAUUCUCAACAACAACAACAACAACAAUAACAACAAACUAAUCUUUCACUACCGCACAAUUUCAGUCUCGGUUCAGAAGAAUUAUUCGAACUCACUUUCAUUCUUCUCUUCCAUUUUCGAACACAAUUAAAGCGAUGCGAACCUAGGACACGAGCCACUGAAUCCCUUCUUCCCUUCACUGCCUUCACUCCUUCAGCCAACGUGGUGGUGGCAACACGUGACCUGCCUGAGCUGACCAUUGUGGUGUGUUACUGAAGGAUGAAGAUAAUAGUGAUGGUGGUGAUGGCGGUAAUGGCAGCAAUGAAGACUCGUGCAGAAGAUAGAAUGAGAGAAAGACACGAGGGAAACGAUGAGACAGCAAAUAAUGGUGAGUCAGAUGGAGGGAGAAGAAGAUAAAGAUGAUAAGGAAGAAGAUAAAGAAGAUAAAGUGAUGCAGAGUGAUGGACACGUGACAGAUAACAACAGAGGAGGAGGAGGAACAACAACGAGAGAAGGAGAAAGAACAACAACUAAAGGAAGAAGAGAAGGAAGAAAAUAAACGAAAGAAGGAGGUAGAGGAUAAUGAAGAAGGAAAUGGCGGAGGCUCUGGCGAUGAUGGAUGGUUUCCUAAUGGCCACGUCAAAAGAGGGUCGACUGCACUACGAUUUACUGUUGAGGGAAGCACAGACGCCCAGGUGAGGCAGGCGGACACCUCCUGUACGCGGCCCGCAGGUCACCAGAAGGGACACUAUAACCCCCACCACGUAGAACGCAACCUGCAACACAAGGACUGAACACCAACACCACUACGAUCUACUGUUAAGGGAAGCACAGACGCCCGGCCUGAAGGAGACAUCCACCAGGUCAGCUCCCAGUUGGACCUUGCUCUCGCCUCCGCCGCAUCCCUCAGAAAGCAGAUGGACAAACAGCUAACGGAGUCCCGCGAUGCCCUGACCUCAGCCUUCAAAGACAUAAGAGCCUCUAUUAUAAGACACUUUGCCCUCUCACAUCAGCUAUUUCUAAAGGGAGUCAGCGGAGGAACUGCGCAGCCUGGUGGAGGGCGGGUUGCUGCGGGUGGGUCAGCUGCACAGCCUCAUCAUGGGGGAGUUCCCCGGCAUCAACGCGGUUGCGUUCUACGUGGUGGGGGUUAUAGUGUCCCUUCUGGUGACCUGCGGGCCGCGUACAGGAGGUGUCCGCCUGCCUCACCUGGGCGUGUGUGCUUCCCUCAAUAGUAAAUCGUAGUGGUGUUGGUGUUCAGUCCUU